CCUCCAUGAUUGGCCCCAGCUGCACGUGCUCUCCCCACGCAGGGGCAUUAAAGAUGGCUUCUUUUCUUUAAAGCAGGGAGAGGGAAGGGUGGGGAAGACGGAGCACAUGGACUGCUGGUGGCGAGACAUGGAAGGAAGCAAAUAGAGGGCAGAUGAGCCCGAGAACUAGUGGCGCCAUUGAUGCUCUCCGGAGCUCUGCGCAUGCUCUGCGGGAAGGGAAGUUUUGGUGGGGCAAAUCCACUCUGGUGGGCCGGAGCCCCCCCCCACAUCUCCCCGGUGCAUGCGGUCUUCUCUGUUGAUGCCUUGAAGCGGAUGGACUCUGAGAUUUGAUGGGUCUGCUUGAUGUGAUGCUAAAUGCUCGGAUCAGUGGAAUGAGUGAAUGCUUUUCUACCGAUUUACUUAACAUUAGGAGGAAGAAAAGAAAGAUACUGUGCUUUCAACAUGGAAGAAAACACAUUCAUCAGCUUCAAGGAAAAGUGAGUCUCAUCAUUUCUGUGAUGAUUAGUGGCAGUAUCAGUUUAAAAGUGGCCAAGCGAAGAAGAACACCUCAGUUUCUUUCCAUUAAAUAUUAUCCAUCAACAUCUGUCAUCCUACCUGGAUUUAAUGCUAGGUUUUCCAGUCAAACAUACUGAAUAAGAUCGAGUUCAAAGGAUUUAAUAUCAAGAUGAUGCAGAUCUGCCAUCACACUGUGACCAGUGCAAUAGAUGGCUAAUUAUGAGGAUGAAUCCACAGCUUGUAAAACAUAUCCAAUCUUUUGGAUCUUGACUAACGAUUUUAAAUAUUGGAAAUACCUUAAGAUUGAUGAAAUAUACAAACCAUAACCCAAGCUGUCAAACUCAGAUCUAAAGAGCUGCUGCUGCUCUUAUCACUCUGCUACCUAAAAUGACUAAGAACCCAGUAAAAGACAGCUGAUAGAAGGAGAUGUCUACAUACAUGAUCUGAUCUUGCCUCCCAAACAUUUCAGCAUCAUGCUUUGCAAAACAUCACCUCAGAUUCUACUUUUGAGGAGAAACCAUCAUUAUCUUCCUGUUUAUGUUGGAAAUCUGUGGAGCAAGCCAUGAUCAGCGAGCACUGGGUGUCCACCUUUGGAGGAUAAGAACAGGCAGCAGCGACCAGAAUGGUCCAAGAGGAACUGCUCCACCAAAAGCUAACUGCAGCUUCCUUUCCUUGGAAGUACAAGAACCAUCCAGGUCUGGGAAAAAGAAGAAGGUGCUUUCUUGCACCAGAAACGUGGACAAUCAUGGAGACCGAAGUGGAUAACAGGUGUGAGGACUCCAAGUUUGUGAGGACGGGAGGAUCUCAGCUUUACAGCCAUUGGAGAGAUCACAGUUCAUAAUAGGCAAGAUAAGUCUGUUGACAUCGCCCAUGUUCCUGUGAGGAGGAAACAGGAGCAGUGGGAGCUCCUGUAAUCAUCAUAUGCUUAUAUGCUGGGGUUGAUGAUGAUCCUUUUGUAUUCUUUAAAUGAGAACAACUUGUUUGGAGAUCAAAUUAUUUGGAGGACAAGAAAUUUAAUUUACUGUUGAGCUAUUUAAUCUGCAAUAGAACGUAUCAUACAGUUUUGUCGUAGAGAAGAAGGCACAAUGUGAGCCAAACCAUCCAUCCCACCUCAAUGCAAUUAAAGCGAAUCUAUACGACACCAAUUCCCACAAAUAAUUUUCUCUUAAUCGUUCUCUAAUAUAUAUAAUAUUGUUCAAGUAAGUUUUAGGUUAUGACAUCAGCUUUGGAUCCUCUUCCGGUUGCUUUGAUCGACGCCGACGCGGCGCGCAAGUCGCUCAUCGUUGUCAGAUGCGGACUCCGUCGAGGCAGAAGUUGCAGAUCCUCGUUCUUCCUAAAUUUCAAGAAAAUCUGUUGUUUGUGAUCUUUGAAUCCUCGUCUGGGUUCCUGGAAUCGUACCAAUCGUAUUAAAGCUGCGAUCUUUUUGAUAUUUCGAUGUCGACCCGAUUAAGGGUUUCUCUCUCCGUGGCCCCUGCACGAGGAGAAGAACCUGAAUCAUCAUCGUCGAAUCUGAUAUCUUGUGGUAGGUAGAGGCGACAAAUGAAGAUGCGUCGAUGCAUGCGUGUUGGACCUGCAAUUGGUGAUGAAGGCAGUGCCGUGGUCGGGGAUGCUACUGAGCGUUUGGACUCUUUCGUGGACGAGCUGAGGAGGAAUAGAAGUGGUAUGCAUGUGGAAUCUCCAUUUACUGAUUCAAAUGCUGGGAGCCUGGUGCUGCAGAUGGAUUCAACAGGACUUGUGGCCUCAUAUUUGUGGGUAAGGUAUUUGAUGAUGGUUAUAAUCACAAUGAUUUUUCGCGAUGGAAGGUAUAGGCAAUGUACAUGAUUUUGAUGGAUAGGGGUAUCGUAAUGCACAAGGCUAUACAGCUACUGGCCAAUGGCUUCCAUUUGAAUUUUAAGCUUGUAUGCUCAGACAAGGAUCAAUUUUUCGUCUGUAAAACUUUCAGAGUUUGAAUGUGUGAUAGCGAGCAGUGACAAAGUAAGUAGCUUUAGGCUUGAGGAAAAUUCCUUGUUAAACAAUGCUUUCGGUGAUGCAGACAAUGUAUGAUUUUGAUUCAAGCUGUCUUCAUUGUUCACAGACUUGUAAUCUGGUAUACUGCAACAUAUUCAGCUCAUGAAACCAAAGUAUUUCUUAUUCUCAUAUCUGAUUGAUUAGUUCUGAUUCAUUAGUUUCUGGUCUCUAAUGUGAUCAUACAGUUCCUGCGUACCUGUAGUGCCUUAGCACUCUAUGCCAUUGUCAGUCAGGUGAACUGUAGCCUCAGUCACUUCCGUCUUCCCUCUUAGAUAGCCGAGUCAUUGCGAUCUGAAUCUUCUUUGAAAAGUCCAGAUGAGGAGUUCAUUCGACAAGGCUAUAUUUGCUGAGAAUGUUCAAGCAGGCCUCUUGGGUUGCGCUGAGGGGGCAAGGAAGAACACAACAAACAGUAAAGUAAUCAGAAUGUGUAUCAAACACCUUGGUGCCAGGAAACAUCAGGUCUGCAAGUUUCAGAAUGUGGUUCUCCAGGAUGCUUCUGCAGCUAGGUCGGAAUGCCGACAUUACUGUAAUAGGAUUUUACAUACUACCUGACAAUGGGAAAUAUAUGAAGCAACAUAAAAUCUUAGUGUUCUAUAGAAGUCGAGCUGCAUAGAGCACUAGUAUAUCAGAAGAACAUUAGUAUUCUAUGAUUUAAGACAUCAGAAUCUUUGCUGCAGUCGAGCAGUGGAGAGGUUGGAAACCGAUAACUUGAGCUCAAAAAGGUUGAUAGACAUUGGCAGUCUAUCGGCUUCGAAGUAUAUCAGAAGAAUCCUUUAGUUUCUUCUGGCAAAAGGGUAAGUGUCUUGGGAGUGAGGAUGCAUGGUACAACAAGGAACAAAACCGAGAAAGACGGAGAAGCUUGAUGAAACUAAACCAAUUAAAACUUGAUCGGUUGAUAUAAGUGAACCAGGGCAAGGAGUACAGGCAAGGCUUUCAUGCAUUACUUUCUGUGUUCUUCCUGGAUGAUGGAAGCUUCGUGAGUUGUCAACUGUUCUUCAGUCUAUCUUGGCUUGUAUCAUUCAGUAAGUAAAAUGUUCUGACAGAAAAAUGAGUAAUUUUUUGCCUGAUUGUAGCUCGAGGAUGGCAUCAUUUCUUUAUCAACCAUUGACUUGACUCUGCAGGAAUUAGCAUGUUUCCAGGGCCAGAGAAAUGAUUCAUCUCUCUUAUUAACAACAUCUCUUUCUUCUGCUAAUUGUGCUUGCAGAAUGUUGAUGGAAUCUAAUAUCAAGUGGAGCAGCACUUGCCAACAUGGUGGCCAUGUACUCUUACCUGCUUUAGUGUCACAUAAAACAAGGUUAUGUUGUCAUGACCUACUCUGUAAACUCUUUAUAUUGCAAUAACCAUGGAUUAAGAGCACAAUGUGAAACCGUGUUUCAUUCACAGUGACACUCAAAGUCUAUCUGAAGGACCAUAACACUUUUGUUUCUGUACGCUAGUCCGAAUCAGCAGCAUCAUAGACAGCAUCAUAAACUAUGUUUUUGCACUAAAAGUUGAGUACAGCGAGAAGCAGUCAAGUCAUAUGAUUAGUGGAUUGUGCUAAUGGAGGAUUAAUUCCACAAGGAGCAUGUGCCAGUGCUGCCAAGGUUCUUUCAUUUGGUUGUUCAGAUGGGGACACUGCCAAUGUUAGUUGAGAAAUCUGUCUCAAGCUCAAUCAUUGCACGCAAGAACCGAUUCCGAUAGUAAACCUACCUAUUAUCGGUGUGCAGUGGACCCAAUACAAUUCACCUUUUGAGAAGGAGCUAAACUGGUUUUUUCCUUCUGAAUUCUUUGAACUCAUCAGUAUGUGAGAGGGAGAGAGUGGUGGUUUGCUUGUUACUUCAUGUUGCCAGUAGGAUCCUCUUAUUUCUCCUUGGAACUCUUCUCAGUCUCAGGUUAAGAUGGAUCAAAUUCCAUCCCUCUUUCUGCCAAACAUUCUUUAGCAGGAAGUAUUUGUUUGCAUGCAAUCCACGCAGGAUUGAGAUGCCAGAUUCCCUUCCAUGGUUGCUGAUUAGGAUCAUCUUCCUUCCACCUCUGCAAGCUUGAAACCAUCUUUUGCGCUGUGCCAAACAAAACUAGCAGACAGGCAUCCGAUCCCCAUGUUAUGGAUCUGUUCUAACUCAGAAGAACAAGGAUUGCAUGAAAUGAGCUGCCUCUUUCCAGCUUUUGGUUCAGAGGGUUGUUCAUGGAACUUGGCUUCACUAUGUAUUGAUUACAAGG